rnacentral:ncRNA from 12 species
ACAACUCAGGUCUGUGGUUGCAAGUCGAUGCCAGUUGCAGGCGAAACGAUCCACGUAAGCAGCAAAAUUUUGCUGUGAGCACGGUGCAGCUUAGAAGUAAGUCCUGCCGCAAAAAAUUAUGGGCGAGAGAGGUAGUAGUGGGGAGCGGAAUGCUUAGGAGCGAACCUUCCAGCAGGCGAGUGUGGGGGCGAAAACCAGGUCAGCUGAGUUGU